rfam:Felis catus isolate Cinnamon breed Abyssinian chromosome B2, whole genome shotgun sequence.
GCCUGGCUGGCUCAGUUGGUAGAGCAUGCGACUUUUGAUCUCAGGGUCAUGAGUGCAAGCCCCAAGUUGCGCA